AACGCACGAGACCUGCGGACCUGCGGAAGGAUCAUUACUGAAUUGAUUUUGGGGAUGUUGCUGGUCUCUUGAGGCAAUGGUGCACUCCCUCAAACAUUUCACAAUUUCCAUCUUACCCAUGUGCACAUCCUGUAGGUGGUCUCCCAACCCACCCUCCAAGGAAAGGGGGGGAGUGUGUGGGUCUGGUCUCCUAUGUAUUUCCUUGCCAACAUCACACGUUUUGACUGGAUGAAUCCUGUG
rnacentral:misc_RNA from 1 species